rnacentral:rRNA from 1 species
UAACCUCGGAUCAGACGUGAAUACC